rnacentral:rRNA from 1 species
AGCGUACACGGUGGAUGCCCUGGCAGUCAGAGGCGAUGAAGGACGUGCUAAUCUGCGAUAAGCGUCGGUAAGGUGAUAUGAACCGUUAUAACCGGCGAUUUCCGAAUGGGGAAACCCAGUGUGUUUCGACACACUAUCAUUAACUGAAUCCAUAGGUUAAUGAGGCGAACCGGGGGAACUGAAACAUCUAAGUACCCCGAGGAAAAGAAAUCAACCGAGAUUCCCCCAGUAGCGGCGAGCGAACGGGGAGCAGCCCAGAGCCUGAAUCAGUGUGUGUGUUAGUGGAAGCGUCUGGAAAGGCGCGCGAUACAGGGUGACAGCCCCGUACACAAAAAUGCACAUGCUGUGAGCUCGAUGAGUAGGGCGGGACACGUGGUAUCCUGUCUGAAUAUGGGGGGACCAUCCUCCAAGGCUAAAUACUCCUGACUGACCGAUAGUGAACCAGUACCGUGAGGGAAAGGCGAAAAGAACCCCGGCGAGGGGAGUGAAAAAGAACCUGAAACCGUGUACGUACAAGCAGUGGGAGCACGCUUAGGCGUGUGACUGCGUACCUUUUGUAUAAUGGGUCAGCGACUUAUAUUCUGUAGCAAGGUUAACCGAAUAGGGGAGCCGAAGGGAAACCGAGUCUUAACUGGGCGUUAAGUUGCAGGGUAUAGACCCGAAACCCGGUGAUCUAGCCAUGGGCAGGUUGAAGGUUGGGUAACACUAACUGGAGGACCGAACCGACUAAUGUUGAAAAAUUAGCGGAUGACUUGUGGCUGGGGGUGAAAGGCCAAUCAAACCGGGAGAUAGCUGGUUCUCCCCGAAAGCUAUUUAGGUAGCGCCUCGUGAAUUCAUCUCCGGGGGUAGAGCACUGUUUCGGCAAGGGGGUCAUCCCGACUUACCAACCCGAUGCAAACUGCGAAUACCGGAGAAUGUUAUCACGGGAGACACACGGCGGGUGCUAACGUCCGUCGUGAAGAGGGAAACAACCCAGACCGCCAGCUAAGGUCCCAAAGUCAUGGUUAAGUGGGAAACGAUGUGGGAAGGCCCAGACAGCCAGGAUGUUGGCUUAGAAGCAGCCAUCAUUUAAAGAAAGCGUAAUAGCUCACUGGUCGAGUCGGCCUGCGCGGAAGAUGUAACGGGGCUAAACCAUGCACCGAAGCUGCGGCAGCGACGCUUAUGCGUUGUUGGGUAGGGGAGCGUUCUGUAAGCCUGCGAAGGUGUGCUGUGAGGCAUGCUGGAGGUAUCAGAAGUGCGAAUGCUGACAUAAGUAACGAUAAAGCGGGUGAAAAGCCCGCUCGCCGGAAGACCAAGGGUUCCUGUCCAACGUUAAUCGGGGCAGGGUGAGUCGACCCCUAAGGCGAGGCCGAAAGGCGUAGUCGAUGGGAAACAGGUUAAUAUUCCUGUACUUGGUGUUACUGCGAAGGGGGGACGGAGAAGGCUAUGUUGGCCGGGCGACGGUUGUCCCGGUUUAAGCGUGUAGGCUGGUUUUCCAGGCAAAUCCGGAAAAUCAAGGCUGAGGCGUGAUGACGAGGCACUACGGUGCUGAAGCAACAAAUGCCCUGCUUCCAGGAAAAGCCUCUAAGCAUCAGGUAACAUCAAAUCGUACCCCAAACCGACACAGGUGGUCAGGUAGAGAAUACCAAGGCGCUUGAGAGAACUCGGGUGAAGGAACUAGGCAAAAUGGUGCCGUAACUUCGGGAGAAGGCACGCUGAUAUGUAGGUGAAGUCCCUCGCGGAUGGAGCUGAAAUCAGUCGAAGAUACCAGCUGGCUGCAACUGUUUAUUAAAAACACAGCACUGUGCAAACACGAAAGUGGACGUAUACGGUGUGACGCCUGCCCGGUGCCGGAAGGUUAAUUGAUGGGGUUAGCCGCAAGGCGAAGCUCUUGAUCGAAGCCCCGGUAAACGGCGGCCGUAACUAUAACGGUCCUAAGGUAGCGAAAUUCCUUGUCGGGUAAGUUCCGACCUGCACGAAUGGCGUAAUGAUGGCCAGGCUGUCUCCACCCGAGACUCAGUGAAAUUGAACUCGCUGUGAAGAUGCAGUGUACCCGCGGCAAGACGGAAAGACCCCGUGAACCUUUACUAUAGCUUGACACUGAACAUUGAGCCUUGAUGUGUAGGAUAGGUGGGAGGCUUGGAAGUGUGGACGCCAGUCUGCAUGGAGCCGACCUUGAAAUACCACCCUUUAAUGUUUGAUGUUCUAACGUUGACCCGUAAUCCGGGUUGCGGACAGUGUCUGGUGGGUAGUUUGACUGGGGCGGUCUCCUCCUAAAGAGUAACGGAGGAGCACGAAGGUUGGCUAAUCCUGGUCGGACAUCAGGAGGUUAGUGCAAUGGCAUAAGCCAGCUUGACUGCGAGCGUGACGGCGCGAGCAGGUGCGAAAGCAGGUCAUAGUGAUCCGGUGGUUCUGAAUGGAAGGGCCAUCGCUCAACGGAUAAAAGGUACUCCGGGGAUAACAGGCUGAUACCGCCCAAGAGUUCAUAUCGACGGCGGUGUUUGGCACCUCGAUGUCGGCUCAUCACAUCCUGGGGCUGAAGUAGGUCCCAAGGGUAUGGCUGUUCGCCAUUUAAAGUGGUACGCGAGCUGGGUUUAGAACGUCGUGAGACAGUUCGGUCCCUAUCUGCCGUGGGCGCUGGAGAACUGAGGGGGGCUGCUCCUAGUACGAGAGGACCGGAGUGGACGCAUCACUGGUGUUCGGGUUGUCAUGCCAAUGGCACUGCCCGGUAGCUAAAUGCGGAAGAGAUAAGUGCUGAAAGCAUCUAAGCACGAAACUUGCCCCGAGAUGAGUUCUCCCUGACUCCUUGA